UGGGGAAUUUUGGACAAUGGGCGCAAGCCUGAUCCAGCCAUGCCGCGUGCGGGAAGAAGGCCUUCGGGUUGUAAACCGCUUUUGUCAGGGAAGAAAUCUUCUGAGUUAAUACCUCGGGGAGGAUGACGGUACCUGAAGAAUAAGCACCGGCUAACUACGUGCCAGCAGCCGCGGUAAUACGUAGGGUGCAAGCGUUAAUCGGAAUUACUGGGCGUAAAGCGUGCGCAGGCGGUUUUGUAAGACAGAGGUGAAAUCCCCGGGCUCAACCUGGGAACUGCCUUUGUGACUGCAAGGCUUGAGUGCGGCAGAGGGGGGCAUGGAAUUCCGCGUGUAGCAGUGAAAUGCGUAGAUAUGCGGAGGAACACCGAUGGC
rnacentral:rRNA from 1 species